UUAUGGUGCGCAUCUAGAANAGUCCAAGUUGUUUGGGAAUCCAGCUUCAAAAUGGGUGGUACAUGCCAUCUAAAGCUAAAUAUUGGCGAGAGACCGAUAGCGAACAAGUNCCGUGAGGGAAAGAUGAAAAGAACUUUGGAAAGAGAGUUAAACAGUACGUGAAAUUGCUGAAAGGGAAACGCUUGAAGUCAGUCGCGUCUGCUAGAAAUCAGCCUUGCUUUUGCUUGGUGUACUUUCUGGUUUGACGGGUCAGCAUCAAUUUUGACCACUGGAUAAAGUCUUUGGGAAUGUGGCAUCUUAGGAUGUGUUAUAGCCCAUUGUCGCAUACAGUGAAAAAAGAUUGAGGAACUCAGCACGCCCGCAAGGGACGGGUUUCGACCACGUUUCGUGCUUAGGAUGCUGGCA
rnacentral:rRNA from 1 species